AUGGAUCUCGCGACGGGGGCCAUGGGCAGCCUCCUCCUCAAGCUUGGCCAACUCCUCACGGAGGAGUACAAGCUGCAGACGGGCGUCAAGGAAGAUGUUGGGUAUCUAGAGAGAGAGCUGGAGAGCAUGCAUGCUGCCCUCCGCAAGGUUGGGGACGUGCCGCGAGACCAGCUCGACGAGCAGGUCAAGCUCUGGGCCAACCAAGUCAGGGACUUGUCAUUCAGAAUGGAGGACGUCGUCGACAAGUUCCUGGUGCGCGUCGAGGGAGCUGAGCCUGCCAUCAAGCCACGCAAACUCAAGAAGCUCAUGAAGAAGAUGGGAGACUUGUUCAGCAAGAGCAAGACUCGCCAUGAGAUCUCCGAUGAGAUCAAAGACAUCAAGCUCCGCGUCAAGGAGGCGGCUGACCGACGUGAUAGGUACCGGGUCAACGGCAUGGCUGCUAAUCCAGUUGGCGCAACCACUGUUGACCCUCGCCUAUUGGCUUUGUACAAGGACCAGAAAGAGCUCGUUGGUAUUGAUGAUUCGUUGAAUGAGCUAACCAAGAUGAUGAGUGAUGGGGAUGCUGAUGGGUCCAGGCAACUCAAGAUACUCUCUAUUUUCGGAUUCGGAGGCCUUGGCAAGACAACUCUUGCCAAAGCACUGUAUGAUAAGCAUAAAGCGCAAUUUGAUUGCAGUGCUUUUGUUCCGGUUGGACGGAACCCUAGCGUGAAGAAAGUUCUCAAUGACAUACUCCUUGAAAUUGACGGCCAAAAGUACUCGGAGUUGGAUGAAAGGCAGCUAAUCAACAAACUCCGAGGAUUACUCGAGAACAAAAGGUACUUGAUUGUCACUGAUGACAUAUGGGAUAAAAAAACAUGGGAGCUGGUCAAGACCGCUUUGGUGUGUAAGAAUUGUGGAAGCAGGAUAAUCACAACUACUCGUACACUCGAAGUUGCCACAAUGGCCAGUGAAGUAUACAAGCUACAGCCACUUUCUCUUGAUUUAUCCAAGGAUUUAUUUCAUAGAAGAUUAUCUUGUGCUGCAAUAGAAUGGAAUAAUCAUCUUCCAGCAGUGGUAUAUGAUAAAAUUUUACACAAAUGUGGUGGUAUACCAUUGGCUAUAAUCACAAUAGCUAGUUUGCUUGCUGGUAAACCUGUGGAGUUUUGGUCUAAGGUAUACACUUCAAUUGGUUUUGGGCAUGAAGAAAAUGAAGACGUGGAGAACACGAGGAAAAUACUUUUAUUUAGCUAUUAUGAUCUACCUUGUCACCUCAAGACUUGCUUAUUGUAUCUGAGCAUCUAUCCUGAAGAUCAUCUGAUUGAAAAAGAUAGUUUGAUAUGGAAGUGGGUCGCCGAAGGUUUUGUCCAUGAGGAACUAGGGGUAGGACUAUUCGAGAUUGGUGAGAGGUACUUCAAUGAGCUGGUGAACAAAAGCAUGAUAAUGGCGGUAGAGGGAGAUGAACAUAUUGGCAUCAUAACUGGGUGUCGUGUCCAUGACAUGAUGGUUGAUAUGAUAUGCCUAUUGUCAAAGGAGGAAAAGUUUGUUACUCUAUUGGAUAGUAAGGAGCAAUAUACAUCUUCACAUUGCAAUGCUCGCAGGCUAGUUGUUCAUCAUAGAGCCCAGCCCCUGGCUACCACGUCAACAUUACAAGCAAGGUCAUUUAAUGCCAUGUGCAGUGUUGAUUUGUUGCCAUCACUUUCAUGCUUUGAAGUUUUGCGUGUCCUAGCUUUGGAAGGCAAUGGCACUUUGAAUAAGUGUAGCUAUAAUCUUGAGCAUGUUGGGAAGUUAGUUCACUUGAGGCACCUCAAACUAGGGAGCAUUGGUAUCAGUGAGCUCCCAAAGGAAAUAGGACAUCUGAAGUUUUUGCUGGUACUGGACUUGGGUAGAAAUAGCAUAAGGGAACUUCCAGAGAGUAUUGGUCGAUUAAGUGAACUGAAGUGCUUGAACAUCUGGGAAACAGACAUUGAAGUGCCAUACUGGAUCGGAAAUUUGACAUCUCUGGAAGAGUUGUGCCUAGGAGGAGUUCAUGGGCACUCCAACUUUGUGACAGAGCUGGGCAAGCUGACAGAGUUGAGGAAGCUCCGCAUUUUUAAAAGCGUAUAUGUACAUGGCGAUAGGAGAAUGAAUAGUUGGGCCAAGUCUGUAGCCAAACUGAGCAAGAUCCAAGUCAUAGACAUUGGUUUAGUUGUCGGGUGUAGGGAUUCCAGUCACAGUCACGAAGAGAACCCCUGGGAACGGAUUGUUCUGUCUCCACAAAUACGUGUUCUACACAUGUCCUGCCUAGAACCUGGGAUGAUGGCAAGGAUCAAUCCCUCGCUUCUUCCGAAUCUGUCCCAUUUAAAACUGCAUGUAUGCAGUCCAGAUAUGGAGGUCUUUGGAAGUUUUCGAGAGCUUGUCGCCCUCAAGCUGGAGACGGUGUCAACUCUCCACCAUGACACCAUUGGCGGCGGUGCAGGUGCGUUCCCCAAGCUAAGGUUCUUCAGGACAGAAGCAACGCUUGACUCGUUUCAAGAGGGGGAUAUGCCGGUCCUUGAAUCACUCCAGUUUGAGGUCGUAGCACAGUCCAGUGAUGAUGGCAUUAGCUUUGACUUUGACUUUGCUAGCCUAGGGAACCUCCCUUUGCUUAAGAGAGUCGUCAUCACUUUAUAUGCCCCUCGUGCGGACGACGAGAAGGCCAAGGAAACGGCGAAGCGUGCAAUGGAUAUGCUUCCCAACCGUGUCGAGCAUUCUAUCAUACCAAGGGCUACAGAGAACUGGCGUCGGAGAUUAAAACAUCGAUUGAGCUAA
rnacentral:rRNA from 1 species